rnacentral:sRNA from 1 species
AAACGGUCAUAUGACAUUUCCGCUGCGA